CUUACUUUAAACUCACACCUAGUAAAACAUGGAUAAAAGUAUCAUUAAGUAUCAAAAGUAUCAUUAAGAAUGCAUUUAUUAACCAAAUCCUACAGUUCUGACUAAACUUGGUUGUGUUUGAGACAGGGAUGAUUCCUAUGUUUCGGUGGGGUCUCGGCUAUUCUUUUUAUCUGCCCAGGAAGUUUUCCAACUCCUCUUCCUAAAUAACAGACCUUGCUCCCCUGGUUCCACUCAGUUCGGGACUUGAGCUCCCUAACCCAGAGAUGAUACAUCACUGAAGCAGGGACCGUCUCCCUUUUUUUCUAGUUGUCUAAGAGGGAAAAAAACAAAAACUAAUCGUUCCUACUGGCAUUUCUAAGAUCAAGCUGUUGGCAGCUAUCUUCCAAACUGUAAGGAAAGACCCUAUCUACAAAAUGAAGCCAAGCAGAGACUGAGAAAGAGGGAAGAUGAAAGAGAGAGCAAAAAAAACCUCUUCGUGAGGCUGAGUCUCUGAUUUAAGACGUCCUCAAGGCUUCGGCUCCCAGAAGGAAAUAGCAGUGGAGCUGCACCCCUCCUCCCACUUUCAUGCGGGCGGUGGGGCAGUGGCACCUCCAGAGGAGGAAUGAGAAAGAGUGAAAAAAACCUGCAAGUUUGCUGCGUGAGGAGCCCAUUUGAGCCCCAGAAGAACCUGUGGGGAUCACAUAUUUGGGCAGCUGACAGCAGCCACAGACCAGCAGCAGAUACCAGCAGAACUAUCAGUGAUGGGACGAGUCCUGGCUUAGUGGAUACCCCCUAGAGAGCAGCCCAGGCCAAGCACUUCACAGCUGAGACCAGUGAGAGACCAGAGGUCACUGCAUGGACGUAAGGACCCAUCUCCCCUCCACCACCAUAAGUAUGCAGAGAGAUGGUAAGUUCUCAGUGGAACCAAGAGGUCCACUUAGGAAGUGGGAUGGGAACAGGUAUAAGGUGUUUAAAUGCUCGUGAUGGAGUUGGGCUUCAAACUGGCUGAACACUUACAUGAAAUGAGAAUGUGAUAAAAUUAGAAGGAACUGAAACGAUUUUAACUGACAAGUUUAAGUUUUUCUCUGUCACAUACUUCAGCUGGUGAAGGCUCACGAAAAUUAGAUCAGUUAUACGAAAUACAAGGAGAUGUAAUUUUUUUCUGCAUAAAGAAAUGCAGACCAGAUUAACAGGAUAAGGAAAGACAGUAAGUGUUCAAUAAAUAUUUGUUAAAUAUAUGAAUGGAUAAAGCCAACAGUGUUAGUUUUCUAUACCUGCAGAACAAACUUAAUGGCCUAAAACAACACUCAUUUAUUUUUUCACAGUUUCUAUAGAUCAGAGAUCCAAGCAUAGCUUAACUGGGUCCUCUGCUCAGAGUCUCACAGGGUUGCAAUCCUGGUGUCUGCAGGGCUGUGCUCUCUCUCAUGUGGAGCUCAAGGAGUUCUUCCAGGCUUGUUCAGGUUGUUGGCAAAAUUUAGUCUCCUGUUGGGGCUGGCCCCGUGGCUGAGUGGUUAAGUCUGUGCGCUCUGUUGCAGGCGGCCCAGUGUUUCGUUGGUUCGAAUCCUGGGCGCGGACAUGGCACUGC